GACGAACGCUGGCGGCGUGCUUAACACAGAAUGAAGAAACGAGUGGCGAACGGGUGAGUAACGCGUAAAGAACUUGCCUCCCAGCCAGGGACAACAUUUAGAAAUGAAUGCUAAUACCUGAUACUGUGAGAGGGCUUUGCGUCCCAGUAGCUAGUUGGAGAGGUAACAGCUCACCAAGGCGAUGAUGGGUAGCCGGCCUGAGAGGGUGAACCGCCCCAAGGGGACUGAGACACGGCCCUUACUCCUACGGGAGGCAGGAGCGGGGAAUAGUGGACAAUGGGCCGAAGUCUGAUCCAGCAAUUCUGUGUGCACGAUGAAGUUUUCGGAAUGUAAAGUGCUUUCAGUUGGGAAGCGGUACCAACAGAAGAAGUGACGGCUAAAUACGUGCCAGCAGCCGCGGUAAUAC
rnacentral:rRNA from 1 species